AGGUGCGAUUCUACCAGCAUUAAUGCAAUAGAUCCCAUCAGAACAACGCAGUUAAGCGCGCUUGGGCUAGAGUAGUACUGGGAUGGGUGACCUCCCAAGAAGUCCUAGUGUUGCACCCU
rfam:Picea glauca, whole genome shotgun sequence.